UGGAGCACGUGGUUUAAUUCGACGCAACGCGAAGAACCUUACCAGGGCUUGACAUCCCCUGACCGCGUAUGAAAGUACGUUUUCACCCUCGGGUGACAGGGAGACAGGUGGUGCAUGGUUGUCGUCAGCUCGUGUCGUGAGAUGUUGGGUUAAGUCCCGCAACGAGCGCAACCCCUACGUUUAGUUGCUAACAGGUGAAGCUGAGCACUCUAGACGAACUGCCGUUGACAAAACGGAGGAAGGUGGGAUGACGUCAAAUCAUCAUGCCCCUUAUGUUCUGGGCUACACACGUGCUACAAUGGCCGGUACAGACGGAGGCGAAGCCGCGAGGCGGAGCAAAUCCGAAAAAGCCGGUCUCAGUUCGGAUUGCAGGCUGCAAUUCGCCUGCAUGAAGUCGGAAUCGCUAGUAAUCGCAGGCCAGCAUACUGCGGUGAAUACGUUCCCGGGCCUU
rnacentral:rRNA from 1 species